CCCCCCCCCCCUAAUAUACAAUACAGUUUGGAAAACCUAAAGCCUCAUCAGGCUGAGACUGGCAUAAAUUGAGGUAAAAUCUGCAGUUGUCUGCCCCCCUUUUUUACUCAGUGAGAUCAUGGUCCCAGGAGAUCCAUGCUUUAUGGACAAUAGGAUUUGCUUGGCCUCGCUGUUUGUUAUGCUUAUUUGAGCACAUGAAGCUCCUGAUUUUGGGCUUCCAAGUUUGAAUCCAAAGUAGGCUUACUUUGUUCACUUGACUAUCAUUUACGGCUGUUCUUGUAAUCCCUCCAAAUGUAUGCUCAUGUUUAAUAUUGUCCUGGUUCUGUUUGUCAUAUAUUUAUUAGCAAUCUGUUGACCAUUUCACAUAAAGUUUUUAAAAGCAUCACUGGAUGAAAAGGUAUGUAGAGAAGGUGGACAAUUGCAAGUAAAAUUGGCAUUGUUUUCUUUUGCAUAUACUUUGAUGGUUUUCUUGAUAACCUUGAAUGUCAUAAUAUUAUCAGUCGUGAGACACAAUAAAGAAAAGAAAAAAAAAAAACCUGAAAUGAAUGAGCAACUACAUUUAUUAUAUCUGUGCAUUAAUUGCAUCCUCUUCACCAAGUGUGAAAGUGAAACGGAUAUUCACACGUCCGGUUUACACGAAUGUAGGUCAAAAGAAUUGCGUCAAGAACCUUUCAACCAGGCUCUGCAACAGGAAGGCCCAUGAGGGGGGAGCCCUUGAUGUGAAGGGCAGUGUGCACAGGCCGAGGUUUGAGAAUCGUCUGGUGCAAGCUUGUUCAAAGGCUCGUCUCAUUGAUGGAACAACGAAUAAGGUCAAAUGGAACAGCCGCAAAGAGGAGAAGAUGGUGCGAGAUGAAAAGGUUUUCCAGGGGAACUCAAAGGUCGCACCUGUCAAGCAUGCGGAUGUUGAAAGACGAGUUGGUUGUGAUUUUCUACAACAAUACACGAAGAUGGAACAAUACCUUGCUGGGCAGGCAAUUAGAUGUUUCUUACCAAAAUCAAAUGAAUCAUUCAUUUUCGCCACAAUGAGAAUGACAGACAUCAACACCAACUGAUUGCUGACUCAUUAUUUCAGCAUGGAAAUGAUAUUCCAACACCUUUGUGUCGUCGGUCGCUUGUGUCAUCUCAUUGACCCAUUGUAUUGAAUCGCAAAGAACGGGAGGUGAAAACUACGUACAUGAAUGAGGAAAUACAUUCUGAUCCUCCCUCUU
ensembl:lincRNA